rnacentral:misc_RNA from 1 species
GAUGAAGAACGCAGCGAAAUGCGAUACGUAAUGUGAAUUGCAGAAUUCAGUGAAUCAUCGAGUCUUUGAACGCACAUUGCGCUCUUUGGUAUUCCGAAGAGCAUGCUUGUUUGAGUAUCAGUAAACACCUCAAAGCUUUUGGAUUUUUUAAUCGAAAAGCUUUGGACUUGAGCAAUCCCAACACCAAUCUUUUUGAGAUCGGUGGCGGGUUGCUUGAAAUGCAGGUGCAGCUGGACAUUCUCCUGAGCUAAAAGCAUAUUCAUUUAGUCCCGUCAAACGGAUUAUUACUUUUGCUGCAGCUAACAUAAAGGGAGUUUGACCGUAUUGGCUGACUGAUGCAGGAUUUCACAAGGGUCGGCAACGAUUCUUGUUAAACUCGAUCUCAAAUCAAGUAAGACUACCCGCUGAACUUAAGCAUAUCAAUAAGCGGAGGA